UACGGAGGGGACUAGCGUUGUUCGGAAUCACUGGGCGUAAAGCGCACGUAGGCGGAUUUGUAAGUCAGGGGUGAAAUCCCGGGGCUCAACCUCGGAACUGCCUUUGAUACUGCGAAUCUUGAGUCCGAUAGAGGUGGGUGGAAUUCCUAGUGUAGAGGUGAAAUUCGUAGAUAUUAGGAAGAACACCGGUGGCGAAGGCGGCCCACUGGAUCGGUACUGACGCUGAGGUGCGAAAGCGUGGGGAGCAAACAGG
rnacentral:rRNA from 1 species